AGCCUGACGGAGCACGCCGCGUGAGUGAUGAAGGUCUUCGGAUCGUAAAACUCUGUUAUUAGGGAAGAACAAAUGUGUAAGUAACUGUGCACGUCUUGACGGUACCUAAUCAGAAAGCCACGGCUAACUACGUGCCAGCAGCCGCGGUAAUACGUAGGUGGCAAGCGUUAUCCGGAAUUAUUGGGCGUAAAGCGCGCGUAGGCGGUUUCUUAAGUCUGAUGUGAAAGCCCACGGCUCAACCGUGGAGGGUCAUUGGAAACUGGGAAACUUGAGUGCAGAAGAGGAAAGUGGAAUUCCAUGUGUAGCGGUGAAAUGCGCAGAGAUAUGGAGGAACACCAGUGGCGAAGGCGACUUUCUGGUCUGUAACUGACGCUGAUGUGCGAAAGCGUGGGGAUCAAACAGGAUUAGAUACCCUGGUAGUCCACGCCGUAAACGAUGAGUGCUAAGUGUUAGGGGGUUUCCGCCCCUUAGUGCUGCAGCUAACGCAUUAAGCACUCCGCCUGGGGAGUACGACCGCAAGGUUGAAACUC
rnacentral:rRNA from 2 species